UACGUAGGUGGCGAGCGUUAUCCGGAUUUAUUGGGCGUAAAGCGUCCGCAGCCGGUUUAUUAAGUCCAGAAUCAAAGCCCGAAGCUCAACUUCGGUUCGUUUUGGAAACUGAUAGGCUAGAGUGUGGUAGAGGCAAGUGGAACUUCUAGUGUAGCGGUAAAAUGCGUAGAUAUUAGAAAGAACACCAGUGGCGAAGGCGACUUGCUGGGCCACCACUGACGGUCAGGGACGAAAGCGUGGGGAGCAAAUAGG
rnacentral:rRNA from 1 species